ensembl:rRNA 5S_rRNA 5S ribosomal RNA
GUCUGUGGCCUUGCCAUCCCGAACAGGCCCAAUCUUGUAGAUCUCAGAAGCUAAGAAGGGUCAGGUCUGGUUAGUACUUGGAUGGGAGACCACCUAGGAAGACCAGGUGCUCUAGGCA